rnacentral:rRNA from 1 species
UACGGGGGGGGGCAAGCGUUGUUCGGAAUUACUGGGCGUAAAGGGCUCGUAGGCGGCCAACUAAGUCAUACGUGAAAUCCCUCGGCUUAACCGGGGAACUGCGUCUGAUACUGGAUGGCUUGAGUUCGGGAGAGGGAUGCGGAAUUCCAGGUGUAGCGGUGAAAUGCGUAGAUAUCUGGAGGAACACCGGUGGCGAAGGCGGCAUCCUGGACCGAUACUGACGCUGAUGAGCGAAAGCCAGAGGAGCAAACGGG